rfam:Rachicladosporium antarcticum strain CCFEE 5527 scaffold_18, whole genome shotgun sequence.
GGUUGAUUAGUGUAGUGGUUAUCACUCCAGAUUUUGACAUACAAUUAAGCUUCUGGUAACCCCGGUUCGAGCCCGGGAUCGACCU